AGUGAACGCUGGCGGUAGGCCUAACACAUGCAAGUCGAACGGCAGCACAGGAGAGCUUGCUCUCUAGGUGGCGAGUGGCGGACGGGUGAGGAAUACAUCGGAAUCUGCCCAGUCGUGGGGGAUAACGUAGGGAAACUUACGCUAAUACCUCAUACGACCUUCGGGUGAAAGAGGGGGAUCGCAAGACCUCUCGCGAUUGGAUGAGCCGAGGUCGGAUUAGCUAGUUAGCGGGGUAAUGGCCCACCAAGGCGAGGAUCCGUAGCUGGUCGGAGAGGAGGAUCGGCCACACGGGAACUGAGACACGGUCCAGACUCCUAAGGGAGGCAGCAGAGGGGAAUAUUGGACAAUGGGCGCAAGCCUGAUCCAGCCAUACCGCGUGGGUGAAGAAGGCCUUCGGGUUGUAAAGCCCUUUUGUUGGGAAAGAAAUCUUUCAGGCUAAUACCCUGGGAGGAUGACGGUACCCAAAGAAUAAGCACCGGCUAACUUCGUG
rnacentral:rRNA from 1 species